GUUACCACUUCCUUUCUGAGUGAGUUAGCGGACGCGACGUGUGGAGUGGAGAGAAGUGUCUUUAGUUCGUUUACAACCUGUAACCAUGGCCCCCAGCACGCAAUCGGACGACACCGUCUCCAGUGUAAGGAAAGGCAUUCGAGCCAUUCUGCUCGGGCCGCCCGGAGCGGGGAAGGGCACGCAGGCACCCAGGCUUGCAGAGAAGUACUGUGUGUGUCAUUUAGCUACCGGAGACAUGCUGAGGGCCAUGGUGGCAUCUGGCUCAGAGCUCGGUCAGCGGCUUAAGGAAACCAUGGAUGCCGGCAAACUGGUGAGUGAUGAGAUGGUGGUGGAGCUCAUUGAAAACAACCUGGACACGCCUGCAUGCAAGAAUGGAUUCCUGCUGGACGGUUUCCCCCGCACCGUCAAGCAAGCAGAAAUGCUGGAUGGCCUCUUGGAGAAGCGUGAGGAGAAACUGGACUCUGUGGUUGAAUUCUCUGUUGAUGACUCUCUGCUAGUGCGCAGGAUCUGUGGGAGACUCAUUCACCAGCCCAGCGGCCGAUCUUACCAUGAAGAGUUCAGCCCUCCCAAAGAGCCAAUGAAGGAUGAUGUAACCGGGGAGCCUCUUAUUCGCCGCAGUGAUGACAACGAGACCACUCUGCGCUCCCGACUAGAGUCCUAUCACAAGCAGACGGCUCCUCUAGUGCACUACUACAGCGACCGCGGCCUGCACACUGCUGUUGAUGCUUCUCAGUCCCCCGACCUCGUCUUUGCCUCCAUCCUUGCUGCCUUCUCUGCUGCUACCUGUAAAGAUCUGGUUUAUUUUGUCUGAAUCAUCUCUACGUCCACUCUUUUCUUGUAUGCAUCAUAAACCCUGUUUGAUUCCUUUCAUGUUUUGUUUGUCUUCGUGAGUUUGUCUUUAGACAAGAUUUUGAUACAUCUGCUGCCUGUUGUACAAUGGCUGUAUGAAAUCCAGUUUCUCCCAUCCAGGUUGAUCCAGAUGUGAAAAUAAUGGAUGGGGGGAAAGGGGGGAGCUGGAAGUGUCUCAGAUGUUUAUUUUGAUCAUGCCAUGUAGUGAAUGUGUUUUGGAAGAACACAGAUUUAACUGAAACCCAGUUGAUUACCUCCAAUAAACGUGGAAGACUGUUUUCUACUAUCUUA